UCGGGAAUUUUGCUCAAUGGGGGAAACCCUGAAGCAGCAACGCCGCGUGAGGGAUGAAGGCCUUCGGGUUGUAAACCUCUUUUCUCAGGGACGAUAAUGACGGUACCUGAGGAAUAAGCCACGGCUAACUACGUGCCAGCAGCCGCGGUAAUACGUAGGUGGCAAGCGUUGUCCGGAUUUACUGGGCGUAAAGAGCGCGCAGGCGGUUGUUUAAGUCGAAUGUGAAAGCCCCCGGCUCAACUGGGGAGGGUCAUUCGAUACUGAUCGACUUGAAGGCAGGAGAGGGAAGUGGAAUUCCGGGUGUAGUGGUGAAAUGCGUAGAUAUCCGGAGGAACACCAGUGGCGAAGGCGACUUCCUGGCCUGUUCUUGACGCUGAGGCGCGAAAGCUGGGGGAGCAAACGGGAUUAGAUACCCCGGUAGUCCCAGCCGUAAACGAUGGACACUAGGUGUUGGUGGUAUCAACCCCGCAGUGCCGUAGCUAACGCAUUAAG
rnacentral:rRNA from 1 species